AGAAAACUCGCGCAGGUGUUCUGACUGAAAGGAAAUGUAAUGAAACACGCUUACCUGACCGACACAUGAGCAGCAAACAGAGAGCAGCCGUCUCCAAAGAGAACAGGUGGUUUCCUCCCAUUUUUCCCUCUGGCUGUAAGAAGUCCAACUUCACCGGAGAGCAUGGAGGUGUUCCCGUCCGCUGCCUCAACGUUACCUGGAAACCGGGCUGUGUGAGCAAACUCUGUCAUCUUCGCGGCUGGGAGGCAUAUCAGGACAACUUCAGCACCACUCUGCUUGGUGAAUGCUGCAUGCAGGGCCUGUGAUGAGACCUCCAGCCUGUUAGCGAUGUCUCCUGCCGCACGGAGCAUGUCUUCAAAGGCCAAGGACUCCUCUCGGAUUCUGCACCGGAAACACAAAAGACCCAGGCUCAUCACCAGCAGCCUGCGAUGUGUCAUUGAUGGUUAUCUCAGACAGGAUGUCAAAGCCUGAUCCCCAGUCUCCACUCUGGCAGAGCGUGUGGCCUGCCAUAGACACCCAGGCCAGGAUGAAGGCCAUCCAACACCGUCCCAUGGUGACCUGAAGGAGGAAAGUGGAGGAACUCUACCAUUCACAAAAAAUGUGCGGUGGAUGCUGAGGCGGUUUGAGAAGCACCACCGAGCUGAUUCUCCUGGCAUGUGUUGUGAUUUUCAAACCAGAGCAGCGUGCAGUGAUGACGGAUUAAUGAUACCGUGCAGAGCUGAGUUGCUACGGUCUGUGACGGUGUUGAAACGUUGUCUUAAGACAUGUUUAGUUUUUACCUCUUUCUACAAACUAGUUAAACUUUAAAACUAACACUUCCUUUUAUACUUACAGCUGUAAAAAAAAUAUUAAAGCAAUAUGUUUUAAGUACUCUUCAAA